rnacentral:rRNA from 1 species
GAUGAACGCUGGCGGCGUGCCUAAUACAUGCAAGUCGAGCGAACGGACGAGAAGCUUGCUUCUCUGAUGUUAGCGGCGGACGGGUGAGUAACACGUGGAUAACCUACCUAUAAGACUGGGAUAACUUCGGGAAACCGGAGCUAAUACCGGAUGAUAUUUUGAACCGCAUGGUUCAAAAGUGAAAGACGGUCUUGCUGUCACUUAUAGAUGGAUCCGCGCUGCAUUAGCUAGUUGGUAAGGUAACGGCUUACCAAGGCAACGAUGCAUAGCCGACCUGAGAGGGUGGUCGGCCACACGGAACAUGGGGCCCGGGCCAACCUCCUAAGGGAGGCAGCAGUAGGAAAUCUUCCGGAAGGGGGGAAAGCCUGCCGGAGAAACGCGGGGUAAGUAAUGAAGUUUUUCGGAGUGUAAAACUUUGUUAUUAGGGAAGAAAAAAUGUUUAAGUAACUGUAAAAAUUUUGACGGUCCCAAAAAAAAAAGCCCCGGCAAAUAACGG